rnacentral:rRNA from 1 species
GACGAACGCUGGCGGCGUGCUUAACACAUGCGAGUCGAACGGUAAGGCCCUUCGGGGUACACGAGUGGCGAACGGGUGAGUAACACGUGGGUGAUCUGCCCCGCACUUCGGGAUAAGCCUGGGAAACUGGGUCUAAUACCGGAUAGGACCACUGCCUGCAUGGGUGGUGGUGGAAAGCUUUUGCGGUGUGGGAUGGGCCCGCGGCCCAUCAGCUUGUUGGUGGGGUGAUGGCCUACCAAGGCGACGACGGGUAGCCGGCCUGAGAGGGUGACCGGCCACACUGGGACUGAGCUACGGCCCAGACUCCUACGGGAGGCAGCAGUGGGGAAUAUUGCACAUUGGGCGCAAGCCUGAUGCAGCGACGCCGCGUGAGGGAUGACGGCCUUCGGGUUGUAAACCUCUUUCAGCACCGACGAAGCGCAAGUGACGGUAGGUGCAGAAGAAGGACCGGCCAACUACGUGCCAGCCGCCGCAGUAA